GGCACUGCCGUAUGUAGACCAGCAAUGCUCUUUCCUGCCUCGGGUUCUCGUCACUGCCUUCCGGAAAAUCUCACCUGCUUUACAGCCAAGCCAGCAGCUGCUGCCUGGCUGGCCGACUGCAGAAGAACAGCCUCUGGUACUCCCGGGAAGCCCUCGGUAAAAGCGUGAACACCACGAUCACGUCUCAGGACGCCGCACAUGUUAGGGUCGCCCACAGACCGCCAUUCCCAGUGCCUAGAAGGCACUGAACGGGCCUCCUGCUCUUUGUAAAUGUCAACUUUCCUAAGCUAAGUUUUCUUGAAAAUUUUUAACUGCAGUCCACACGUA